CCUACGGGAGGCAGCAGUGGGGAAUAUUGCACAAUGGGGGAAACCCUGAUGCAGCGACGCCGCGUGAGUGAAGAAGUAAUUCGUUAUGUAAAGCUCUAUCAGCAGGGAAGAAAAUGACGGUACCUGAGUAAGAAGCCCCGGCUAACUCCGUGCCCGCAGCCGCGGUAAUACGUAGGGGGCAAGCGUUAUCCGGAUUUACUGGGUGUAAAGGGAGCGUAGACGGGAUUGCAAGUCUGGAGUGAAAGGCGGGGGCUCAACCCCCGGACUGCACUGGAAACUGUACGGCUGGAGUGCAGGAGAGGUAAGUGGAAUUCCUAGUGUAGCGGUGAAAUGCGGAGAUAUUAGGAGGAACACCAGUGGCGAAGGCGGCUUACUGGACUGUAACUGACGUUGAGGCUCGAAAGCGUGGGGAGCAAACAGGAUUAGAUACCCCUGUAGUC
rnacentral:rRNA from 1 species